ACAAAAGUAAUGAUUAGAAGUAGUAUGAUAUUUGUACUUUAUAGAGACUGAUUGCUUGGUGGAAAAUCAGAAGGAAGAAUUUCAGAACGUGUCUAUGAACUCAUACUUCGAUAUUCGUGGAGGGGUAUGCGCAAACUUAGCGUUAUAAGUAAGAGCCAAUAUUAUCAUAUUGGAAGUAAGGUGGUACCGCGUUUUAACGUCCUUUGU
rnacentral:ncRNA from 1 species